GUGGAGGGAUCAAAUUCCUAAGAUAUACGGAAGGAGACGGCAAACCGCGAAAGGCAGCUCUCUGUGUCUCCCACUGACGCUGGGGGUGCGGAGAGCAUGAGGAGCAGACAGAAUUAGAUAUCCUGGUAGUCCAUGCUGUAAACGAUGUCGACUUGGAGGUUGUUUCUUUGAGAAGUGGCUUCCGAAGCUAACGCAUUAAGUCGACCGCCUGGGGAGUACGGCCGCACCGCUAAAACUCAAAUGAAAUGACGGGGGGCGGCACAAGCGGUGGAGCAUGUGGUUUAUUUUGAUGCAACGCGAAGAACCUUACCUGGUCUUGACGUCCAUAAAAUAUUUUAGAGAUAAAAAAGAGCCUCUCUCGGAAUUAUGAGACAGGUGCUGCAUGGCUGUCGUCAGCUCGUGUUGUGAAAUGUUGGGUUAAGUCCCGCAACGAGCGCAACCCUUGUUCUCUGUUGCCAUCAGGUUAUGCUGGGAACUCAGAGGAGACUGCCGGUUAUAAGCUGGAGGAAGGUGGUGAUGACGUCAAGUCAUCAUGGCCCUUACGACCAGGGCUACACACGUGCUACAAUGGCAUAUACAAAGAGAAGCAAAUCUGCGAAGACAAGCAAAACUCAUAAAGUAUGUCUUAGCUCGGACUGGAGUCUGCAACUCGACUCCACGAAGUCGGAAUCGCUAGUAAUCGUGGAUCAGAAUGCCACGGUGAAUACGUUCCCGGGCCUUGCACUCACCGCCCGUC
rnacentral:rRNA from 1 species